GUUACCGCCGGGCGGGGCGGACCGUGAGGGUUGGGGAGCCCAUCGACCGGUUCGUCGCCGAGGUCAGGAUGGGUCUUAGGGAGCCCGUCGCUGACCGUCCCGGCGAAGGAG
rfam:Actinomyces massiliensis F0489 contig00170, whole genome shotgun sequence.